rnacentral:rRNA from 1 species
GCCUAGGGUAAUACAGGUGACUGGGGCUAAGUCGUAACAAGGUAGCCGUACCGGAAGGUGCGGCUGGAACACCUCCUUUCUGGAGUUC